rnacentral:rRNA from 1 species
GAACGGCAGCACGGGAGCAAUCCUGGUGGCGAGUGGCGAACGGGUGAGUAAUACAUCGGAACGUGUCCUGUAGUGGGGGAUAGCCCGGCGAAAGCCGGAUUAAUACCGCAUACGAUCUACGGAUGAAAGCGGGGGACCUUCGGGCCUCGCGCUAUAGGGGCGGCCGAUGGCGGAUUAGCUAGUUGGUGGGGUAAAGGCCUACCAAGGCGACGAUCCGUAGCUGGUCUGAGAGGACGAUCAGCCACACUGGGACUGAGACACGGCCCAGACUCCUACGGGAGGCAGCAGUGGGGAAUUUCGGACAAUGGGCGAAAGCCUGAUCCAGCAAUGCCGCGUGUGUGAAGAAGGCCUUCGGGUUGUAAAGCACUUUUGUCCGGAAAGAAAACGUUCUAGCUAAUAUCUGGAGCGGAUGACGGUACCGGAAGAAUAAGCACCGGCUAACUACGUG